AAGUCGUAACAAGGUUUCCGUAGGUGAACCUGCGGAAGGAUCAUUACUGCUUGCUAAGGGUGCCGCUCUGGGAAACCAAAGCUGUGCCAGGCAUGCUACCCUUGUCUAUACAUACUCUUUGUUACUUCCCUCGGUAGGGCAACCUGCCGCUGGGGACAAUUCAACUCUUUGUAUUAAGUAUCAAAUCAUCUGGAAUAAAAUCUAAUAAUUACAACUUUUAACAAUGGAUCUCUUGGUUCUG
rnacentral:misc_RNA from 1 species